UGGUCUUUCUUCUUAUUCCUCCACCUCUCUAGAAAUCUUUUAUCCCUUCUCUCUUAAGGUUUCUUCAACUUUAAAUCUCCAAAUCGAAGGAAUCCCAUAGAUCAUUGUGAGGGUUUAAAUUUCUCCCAGUUACUUCAAACGUGAGCCAUAUUUUAGAGACCCAGAAGCCCUAAUUAAAAAUUGGGAUCCAUCAAAUUUCAAGUUCAGGGUUGAAAAUCACUGGGAGGGUUUGAAGCGGUUAGAAGUUUCAAUGUUUUGAUGGAAUUGGAUGAGAUAAAACUAGGAGAUGGAGGAUAGGUUGUGGAUGUUGCAAUUUUCGAGGAGGUGGAAGUUCUGGAACGACGUCUCAGCCACAAAUACAGCCAAUAGGAAUUACCGAGGCAUCUCUAGAGGAACGAGAUUCUUAAACAAUGGGGCUGGCAAAAGCUUGAAGGUGUGCAAUGAAUGUUUUUUAUCGUUUGUAUACACAUACAAUGUCACCUUUAGUACUACGUAGUAUGCAGUUAACUUUCUAGGAUGGAAGUACUUAUACUAUUCUAUUCGGCUUGAGAAUUCUUUUGAAGUUUGUAAAAUACUAUUGGUUGCUUUUAAUGGUUAUAUAUUAAUUUUAGAGA